AGAGUUUGAUCCUGGCUCAGGACGAACGCUGGCGGCGUGCCUAAUACAUGCAAGUAGAACGCUGAAGGAGGAGCUUGCUUCUCUGGAUGAGUUGCGAACGGGUGAGUAACGCGUAGGUAACCUGCCUGGUAGCGGGGGAUAACUAUUGGAAACGAUAGCUAAUACCGCAUAAGAGUAGAUGUUGCAUGACAUUUGCUUAAAAGGUGCACUUGCAUCACUACCAGAUGGACCUGCGUUGUAUUAGCUAGUUGGUGGGGUAACGGCUCACCAAGGCGACGAUACAUAGCCGACCUGAGAGGGUGAUCGGCCACACUGGGACUGAGACACGGCCCAGACUCCUACGGGAGGCAGCAGUAGGGAAUCUUCGGCAAUGGACGGAAGUCUGACCGAGCAACGCCGCGUGAGUGAAGAAGGUUUUCGGAUCGUAAAGCUCUGUUGUAAGAGAAGAACGAGUGUGAGAGUGGAAAGUUCACACUGUGACGGUAUCUUACCAGAAAGGGACGGCUAACUACGUGCCAGCAGCCGCGGUAAUACGUAGGUCCCGAGCGUUGUCCGGAUUUAUUGGGCGUAAAGCGAGCGCAGGCGGUUAGAUAAGUCUGAAGUUAAAGGCUGUGGCUUAACCAUAGUAGGCUUUGGAAACUGUUUAACUUGAGUGCAAGAGGGGAGAGUGGAAUUCCAUGUGUAGCGGUGAAAUGCGUAGAUAUAUGGAGGAACACCGGUGGCGAAAGCGGCUCUCUGGCUUGUAACUGACGCUGAGGCUCGAAAGCGUGGGGGGCAAACAGGAUUAGAUACCCUGGUAGUCCACGCUGUAAACGAUGAGUGCUAGGUGUUAGACCCUUUCCGGGGUUUAGUGCCGUAGCUAACGCAUUAAGCACUCCGCCUGGGGAGUACGACCGCAAGGUUGAAACUCAAAGGAAUUGACGGGGGCCCGCACAAGCGGUGGAGCAUGUGGUUUAAUUCGAAGCAACGCGAAGAACCUUACCAGGUCUUGACAUCCCUCUGACCGCUCUAGAGAUAGAGCUUUCCUUCGGGACAGAGGUGACAGGUGGUGCAUGGUUGUCGUCAGCUCGUGUCGUGAGAUGUUGGGUUAAGUCCCGCAACGAGCGCAACCCCUAUUGUUAGUUGCCAUCAUUUAGUUGGGCACUCUAGCGAGACUGCCGGUAAUAAACCGGAGGAAGGUGGGGAUGACGUCAAAUCAUCAUGCCCCUUAUGACCUGGGCUACACACGUGCUACAAUGGCUGGUACAACGAGUCGCAAGCCGGUGACGGCAAGCUAAUCUCUUAAAGCCAGUCUCAGUUCGGAUUGUAGGCUGCAACUCGCCUACAUGAAGUCGGAAUCGCUAGUAAUCGCGGAUCAGCACGCCGCGGUGAAUACGUUCCCGGGCCUUGUACACACCGCCCGUCACACCACGAGAGUUUGUAACACCCGAAGUCGGUGAGGUAACCGUAAGGAGCCAGCCGCCUAAGGUGGGAUAGAUGAUUGGGGUGAAGUCGUAACAAGUUAGCCGUAUCGGAAGGUGCGGCUGGAUCACCU
rnacentral:rRNA from 1 species